GAUAAACGCUGGCGGCGUGCCUAAUACAUGCAAGUCGAACGAAGGUUUGUAGCAAUACUGACCUUAGUGGCGAAUGGGUGAGUAACGCGUUGGUGACCUGCCCCAAAGAGGGGGAUAACAGUUCGAAAGGACUGCUAAUACCCCAUGUGGUUAUGGUGUUUAGAAAGCUAUAACUAAAGGAGCAAUCCGCUUUGGGAGGGGCCUGCGUCCCAUCAGCUAGUUGGUAGGGUAACGGCCUACCAAGGCUACGACGGGUAGGGGGCCUGAGAGGGUGGCCCCCCACACUGGCACUGAAACACGGGCCAGACACCUACGGGUGGCAGCAGUAGGGAAUAUUGCACAAUGGGCGAAAGCCUGAUGCAGCAACGCCGCGUGCACGAUGAAGGUCUUCGGAUCGUAAAGUGCUUUUUGGGGAGACGAGGAAGGACGGUAUCCUCAGAAUAAGGAUCGGCUAACUACGUGCCAGCAGCCGCCGUAAGAC
rnacentral:rRNA from 1 species